rnacentral:rRNA from 1 species
CAAUAGCGUAUAUUUAAGUUGUUGCAGUUAAAAAGCUCGUAGUUGGAUUUCGGUUAAGAGCGACCGGUCCGCCGUUUGGUGUGCACUGGUUGGUUUUAACUUCCUGUAGAGGACGUGCUCUGGGUUUAACGACCUGGACUCGGGGUCUACGUGGUUACUUUGAAAAAAUUAGAGUGUUCAAAGCGGGCUUACGCUUGAAUAUUUCAGCAUGGAAUAACACUAUAGGACUCCUGUCCUAUUUCGUUGGUCUCGGGACGGGAGUAAUGAUUAAGAGGAACAGUUGGGGGCAUUCGUAUUUCAUUGUCAGAGGUGAAAUUCUUGGAUUUAUGAAAGACGAACUUCUGCGAAAGCAUUUGCCAAGGAUGUUUUCAUUAA